GCAAGUCGAACGAUGAAGCCUAGCUUGCUAGGUGGAUUAGUGGUGCACGGGUGAGUAAUAUAUAGAUAACGUGCCUCUUAGUCUGGGAUAGCCAUUGGAAACGAUGAUUAAUACUAGAUACUCCUUCUCUAUCUAAUUAGAGUCGGGAAAGUUUUUUCGCUAAGAGAUCGGUCUAUAUCCCAUCAGCUUGUUGGUAGUGUAAGAGACUACCAAGGCAAUGACGGGUAGCGGGUUUGAGAGGAUGAUC
rnacentral:rRNA from 1 species